rnacentral:rRNA from 1 species
GAUGAACGCUGGCGGCGUGCUUAACACAUGCAAGUCGAACGAUGAAGCCCAGCUUGCUGGGUGGAUUAGUGGCGAACGGGUGAGUAACACGUGAGUAACCUGCCCUUAACUCUGGGAUAAGCCUGGGAAACUGGGUCUAAUACCGGAUAGGAGCGUCCACCGCAUGGUGGGUGUUGGAAAGAUUUAUCGGUUUUGGAUGGACUCGCGGCCUAUCAGCUUGUUGGUGAGGUAAUGGCUCACCAAGGCGACGACGGGCAGCCGGCCUGAGAGGGUGACCGGCCACACUGGGACUGAGACACGGCCCAGACUCCUACGGGAGGCAGCAGUGGGGAAUAUUGCACAAUGGGCGCAAGCCUGAUGCAGCGACGCCGCGUGAGGGAUGACGGCAUUCGGGUUGUAAACCUCUUUCAGUAGGGAAGAAGCGAAAGUGACGGUACCUGCAGAAGAAGCACCGGCUAACUACGUGCCAGCAGCCGCGGUAAUACGUAGGGUGCGAGCGUUAUCCGGAAUUAUUGGGCGUAAAGAGCUCGUAGGCGGUUUGUCGCGUCUGUCGUGAAAGUCCGGGGCUUAACCCCGGAUCUGCGGUGGGUACGGGCAGACUAGAGUGCAGUAGGGGAGACUGGAAUUCCUGGUGUAGCGGUGGAAUGCGCAGAUAUCAGGAGGAACACCGAUGGCGAAGGCAGGUCUCUGGGCUGUAACUGACGCUGAGGAGCGAAAGCAUGGGGAGCGAACAGGAUUAGAUACCCUGGUAGUCCAUGCCGUAAACGUUGGGCACUAGGUGUGGGGACCAUUCCACGGUUUCCGCGCCGCAGCUAACGCAUUAAGUGCCCCGCCUGGGGAGUACGGCCGCAAGGCUAAAACUCAAAGGAAUUGACGGGGGCCCGCACAAGCGGCGGAGCAUGCGGAUUAAUUCGAUGCAACGCGAAGAACCUUACCAAGGCUUGACAUGUUCUCGAUCGCCGUAGAGAUACGGUUUCCCCUUUGGGGCGGGUUCACAGGUGGUGCAUGGUCGUCGUCAGCUCGUGUCGUGAGAUGUUGGGUUAAGUCCCGCAACGAGCGCAACCCUCGUUCCAUGUUGCCAGCACGUAAUGGUGGGGACUCAUGCGACACUGCCGGGGUCACUCGGAGGAAGGUGUGGACGACGUCAAAUCAUCAUGCCCUUUAUGUAUUGGGUUUCACGCAUGCUACAAUGGCCGGUACCAUGGGUUGCGAUACUGUGAGCUGGCGUUAAUCCCAAAAAGCCGGUCUCAGUUCGGAUUGGGGUCCGCAACUCGACCCCACGAAGUCGGAGUCGUCUAGUAAUCGCAGAUCAGCAACGAUGCGGAGAAUACGUUCCCGGUCCU